ensembl:lncRNA
AUAGAUAGUAAAGUCCAUGAGGGCAAGGACCAUGUUAUCUCUGUAUUCCCUGGGCUGAGGACAUAUGAGAGAAGAGUUUUCUUGAGUGAUCUGGAGCUCUUUUCAGGAAGGCAUGCCAUUGUGAAGACAGGAUUUAGCUCUCCCCAGAUUGUAACAAUAAAGAUACUUAGCUCUUCCUUUAUUAGGAAGAUUGAAUUGUAAUCUAAUCUAUUUUUAGAUUUUAACCCCCAAAAGGUGAUAACUCAGUAUUUUAAGUAGAUCUACCCAUUUUAACUACAAAAAGGUGUUAAAUAACCUCAAAAGGUGAACUAACAAAAAAAAGGUGUUAAGUAACCACAAAAGGUAUAAUCUAACCAAAGAAGGUGUGAACUAAAGAGUGGGUAGUUCUGGAGAGGGGCAUCUGGUAGAUGUGAAAUUUAGGGGAGGUGACAUAAGAGAAAAAGAUCUUUAAAAAGAGGACCAGAGGCCAGAAGAAGAGAUAUUUGAUUCAAGAUUCCAGUUGAACUUGGAAGGAGAUCUCUGACUUAGAGUUGGACUAAAGGAACUGGACCCCUAGAGGAACUCGUUCAGGAGACCUCAGACUGCUUUUCCUUUUAGACAGUCACCAUUGGUGAGUGAAAGGCUGACUUAGUGAACCUGCUUUUCUGUAGGCCUGAAGCGUCCAGGAAAGGCCCAUCAUUUUGAGACUCUCUUCCCCUGGCUGGGGCUUAGAAAGUCUAACAGGUAUCAGUGGAAGUCAGAGCUCGCGCUCUCUCCCUCUCUCGCUCUCUCGCUCUCUCUCUAUUUCUCUCUCUCUCUCUCUCUCUCUCCCCCCUUCCUCUCUCUUUCUCUCUGUCUGUCCUCUCUUUCUUUCACUCUUUUUCUCUCCUCUCUUUCUCUCUGUCUCUGUCUCUGUUUCUCUCUCUCUCUCUCUCUCUCUCCCCCAUUAUCAAUUAAUAUGUAACCUUUUCCCAGAAUAUUCCAAUAUCCUUCGUUAACUGCUAAGCCUCAAUGACUAUUUUAUACACUUUCAUUUAUAUUCUAAUUUUGAAUACAUUUAUGAUCACCUAAAUAUGAACAUUUGACUUUUUUUAUCUUGUCGAAAACUUAGAGAAUUCAGCCUUGCUCUGAUUCAGAGAGGGAUUUGCUUCUUUAUGGCAGAAGGACUCCAUGUCUCUCUCUGAAAUACUUUCUCCUUUACAGCUAUAAGUAAUCAAGAAUGUCUUGGAUAAAUCUUCAGAACAGAGUAUAGAGUUAAUUCUUCAAAAAUGUUGUUUAGAGAUCAUUGCUUCCACAAAGAAUUUUGCUACAAAUAUUCUGAACCUUUGAUUUCCUGGGCCGUUCUCCAGUUAUUUCUUGCUGUGCAACAUAAACCAUCUGACUGACAAAAAGUCUAGACCUCUUUGUCUCUCUGUGUCUGUUUUUAUUGUCUAAAACUUUACAAAAUGUUUUCUUAUGAAGAAAAGAUAUCAAAUCAGUAGUUUUACUGAGUCUACCUAAAGGAGUGAAAACUGCUUUUAAAAGGUAAAUCAAAGCUAAUUUUUAAACAGUAGAAAUUACCAAUAUUAAAAAUGUUUUUAUAUAUCAUAUUCAGUUCCAAAUGGUUUAGUUUGAAUUUGAGAGCCCUGUACACAUUCAGAGUGUAUCCCGUCCCAUAAUUACUGGUAUAUUAGUUACAUCCCAGUCCUAUUUUUUCCUUUAAAUAUGCUACCAAUGAUUAGAAAGUAACAUUUUUUUCCCCAACACUAUCCCCAAUAUGCAUAGUCAUAUACCUUAUAUGGACUGAUAGAUGUCUUGCUGUAAAGGAGCUGGUCUCUGGCCCAAAGGUCUUGAUUCUUCCAAUUUUGAUUCAGAUGCUAAAUUCUUUUUUUAAUCUUUGGCAAGUCCUAGCCAGAAUGCACUUCAACUGACAUCUGCAAAAGAAAAGAAAUGACAUUUCAAGUAAAACAAGCCUCGUGAUCCCUUAAAAGGUAU